rfam:Armatimonadetes bacterium 55-13 SCNpilot_expt_500_bf_scaffold_12, whole genome shotgun sequence.
UCUUCGGAGAGUUUGAUCAUGGCUCAGGACGAACGCUGGCGGCGUGCCUAAAACAUGCAAGUCGAACGGUGCCUUCGGGCACAGUGGCGAACGGCGGAGUAAUACAUGAACAACGUGCCCUAAAGACUGGGAUAGUCAUUGGAAACGAUGGGUAAUACCAGAUGUGACCCUCACCUGGCAUCAGGAGAGGAUUAAACGGUUUUUCGCUUUAGGAGCGGUUCAUGGCCUAUCAGGUAGUUGGUGGGGUAAUGGCCUACCAAGCCGACGACGGGUAGCGGGUCUGAGAGGAUGAUCCGCUCGAGUGGGACUGAGACACGGCCCACACACCUACGGGUGGCAGCAGUUGGGAAUCUUGCACAAUGGGGGAAACCCUGAUGCAGCGACGCCGCGUGGAGGAUGACGGAUCUAGGUCUGUAAACUCCUUUUGCACAGAAAGACUUAGGACGGUACUGUGCGAAUAAGGACCGGCUAACUACGUGCCAGCAGCCGCGGUAAGACGUAGGGUCCAAGCGUUGUCCGGAUUUACUGGGCGUAAAGAGCGCGUAGGCGGUCUGUUAAGUGUGAAGUGAAAUCUCCAGGGCUCAACCCGGAAACUGCUUCGCAUACUGGCAGACUUGAGGAAUGCAGAGGUUUGUGGAAUUCCUGGUGUAGCGGUGAAAUGCGUUGAUAUCAGGAGGAACACCCAUGGCGAAGGCAGCAAACUGGGCAUUAUCUGACGCUGAGGCGCGAAAGCGUGGGUAGCAAACAGGAUUAGAUACCCUGGUAGUCCACGCCCUAAACGAUGGAUACUAGGCGUAAGAGGUAUCGACCCCUCUUGUGCCGCAGCUAACGCAUUAAGUAUCCCGCCUGGGGAGUACGGCCGCAAGGUUGAAACUCAAAUGAAUUGACGGGGACCCGCACAAGCGGUGGAGCAUGUGGAUUAAUUCGAUACUAACCGAAGAACCAUACCCAGGUUUGACAUCGAUCGUAAGCUCUAGAGGUAGGGCCCUCCCCCACAAGGGGACGUGAAGACACUUGUUGCAUGGCUGUCGUCAGCUCGUGCCGUGAGGUGUACGGUUAAGUCCGCCAACGAGCGCAACCCUCGUCCUGUGUUACCAGCGAGUAAAGUCGGGGACUCACAGGAGACCGCCGGUGUAAGCCGGAGGAAGGUGAGGAUGACGUCAAGUCAGCAUGGCAGUUACGCCUGGGGCUUCACACAUGCUACAAUGGGCGAAACAAAGGGCAGCGAUACCGCGAGGUGGAGCCAAUCCCAAAAAUACGCCCCCAGUUCAGAUUGCAGUCUGCAACUCGACUGCAUGAAGGUGGAAUCGCUAGUAAACGCAGGUCAGCUAUACUGCGUUGAAUACGUUCCCGGGUCUUGUACACACCGCCCGUCAAGUCACCUGAAUUGUCUUCACCCGAAGUCCGUGGCCUAACCGUAAGGAAGGAGCGGCCGAAGGUGAGGGGAGUAAGGGGGACUAAGUCGUAACAAGGUACCCGUACCGGAAGGUGUGGGUGGAUCACCUCCUUA